UGACAGGUGGUGCAUGGUUGUCGUCAGCUCGUGUCGUGAGAUGUUGGUUAAGUCCCGCAACGAGCGCAACCCCUAUUGUUAGUUGCCAUCAUUCAGUUGGGCACUCUAGCGAGACUGCCGGUAAUAAACCGGAGGAAGGUGGGGAUGACGUCAAAUCAUCAUGCCCCUUAUGACCUGGGCUACACACGUGCUACAAUGGUUGGUACAACGAGUUGCGAGUCGGUGACGGCGAGCUAAUCUCUUAAAGCCAAUCUCAGUUCGGAUUGUAGGCUGCAACUCGCCUACAUGAAGUCGGAAUCGCUAGUAAUCGCGGAUCAGCACGCCGCGGUGAAUACGUUCCCGGGCCUU
rnacentral:rRNA from 1 species